UGGGGUCUCCAAUUCCAUGCAUGAUGAUGAACAAUUAUAACCCAGUUGGACCCCGGCGUAGAUAAUAUAUUCAGGUAUAGCUAUCCAUUUUUCGUUCUUCUCAGACUCAUUGAUUAAGUUAUACUAGGUUAGGCAGCCGGAGAAACCUUAUAGCUUUGCUAGAUUCUGUGUACAAUUCUUUCGUAUAAAGUGCAUCAAAGAGGUCUACCUAGGAUUGAAUUAAUUACUUGUAAGAACAUGGGAAAGCUUAUAAGUUAGGGACCUUCAUGAGAUGCUAGUUUUUGUGCUCCGAAACGGCAUUGUUGAGAACUUUCAAAAUGCCUGAGAGCCAAGUGCUGUCGGAAUACUGUUGAGAAU
rnacentral:lncRNA from 1 species